UACGUAGGUGGCAAGCGUUGUCCGGAAUUAUUGGGCGUAAAGCGCGCGCAGGCGGCCUUUUAAGUCUGAUGUGAAAGCCCACGGCUCAACCGUGGAAGGUCAUUGGAAACUGAAAGGCUUGAGUACAGAAGAGGAAAGCGGAAUUCCACGUGUAGCGGUGAAAUGCGUAGAGAUGUGGAGGAACACCAGUGGCGAAGGCGGCUCACUGGCCCGUUACCGACGCUCAGGCGCGACAGCGUGGGGAGCAAACAGG
rnacentral:rRNA from 1 species